CGCCAACACUGGGACUGAGACACUGCCCAGACUCCUACGGGAGGCUGCAGUCGAGAAUCUUUCGCAAUGGACGGAAGUCUGACGAAGCGACGCCGCGUGUGUGAUGAAGGCUCUAGGGUUGUAAAGCACUUUCGCUUGGGAAUAAGAGAAGACG
rnacentral:rRNA from 1 species